UACGAAGGGGGCUAGCGUUGUUCGGAAUUACUGGGCGUAAAGGGCGCGUAGGCGGUACUUCAAGUCAGGCGUGAAAGCCCCGGGCUCAACCUGGGAACCGCGCUUGAGACUGGAGAACUAGAGUUCGGGAGAGGAUGGUGGAAUUCCCAGUGUAGAGGUGAAAUGCGUAGAGAUCGGGAGGAACACCCGUGGCGAAGGCGGCCAACUGGGAUACACCUGACGCUGAGGCACGAAGGCGUGGGGAGCGAACGGGAUUGA
rnacentral:rRNA from 1 species